rnacentral:rRNA from 1 species
UACAGAGGGGGCAGGCGUUGUUCGGAAUUACUGGGCGUAAAGGGCGCGUAGGCGGCCUUCUAAGUCGAACGUGAAAUCCCCGGGCUCAACCCGGGAACUGCGUCCGAUACUGGAAGGCUUGAAUUCGGGAGAGGGAUGCGGAAUUCCAGGUGUAGCGGUGAAAUGCGUAGAUAUCUGGAGGAACACCGGUGGCGAAGGCGGCAUCCUGGACCGGCAUUGACGCUGAGGCGCGAAAGCCAGGGGAGCAAACGGG